rnacentral:lncRNA from 1 species
AAGUUUUUAAGAAAAGUAUUUUUGAUACAAGAAAGAACUGAUAUGUUAUAAUAAGACUAUCUUAUUGUUAUGUGAAAGAUAAAUAUUAUUUGCCUAUCCACUAGAGACUAUUAUGGUCUGGUAAAGUUUUCUUGUCAACAUUUUAUUUCUUUUCAUUGCAUAACUGAAAAGAUAAAUAUUUACUGAUAAGAUGUUUAAUUUUGUCAAUAUAAAAAGAUAUUCUACCAGAUGCUUCAGAAGAUAAACCCAGAAUAGUGCGCUCUGUUUUAAAAUACCGUUUUUGCCACGAUUUAUAGGUUGGUGUAUUUUCUUUAAAUGCCACAAUCACCACUAUAAAUUUACAAAUGAAUUUGGGAUAAAUUUUUAAUUUCAAUUUUUCAUCAAAUAAAGAUUGUGUAACACAACCUGUGUCGUGUUACACAAUCGGUGUUACACAAGAUUGUGUAACACCGACUGUGAGCACAAACAGAUUUAUAUCUAUAUUUUGAUAGAUUCUUGCCAUUUUGUGAAAGGUUUCUAUAAUUACAGUGUCUUUAUCAUACAGUGUAUCAACGUGACUUAUGUCUGUAGUGUGUGGUUUCAGCUUUCAUAAUUGUAUUUUAUCAACUAAAAUAUGACAAACGGCAUUCCAUGGACGAAUGUAAUGAAACGAAUUUUAACAAGAGUCAACAAUUACUUUUCAGGAUUUAUUCAUCAACAAAUUGAAAAUUGUCAACGCAAAAUACAGCUCUUGCCAGCUGGUGGUGGCUGCGUCUUGUUUGCUGGAAGCAACCGGAAGUCAUCCGAGAUUUCGAACAGAGGUGCUGGCUGCGCGUGAGAUUUUGAAUACGCCCGAGUUGACAGUUUAAUUAGGAAUGUACGGCAUGCGCACACAUCAUCUAACAAAAGAGUAGACAGAAAUGGAGGCCUUAGUCUAACUUGUUUCAGUCUAUUGCAAGACAAAGUGAAAACUUAAACAUAUAAUAUACUUACUUUUUGUAAGAAGUUAACUUCUAUUAAUUAAAUAAUACUGUAUUUUUUGGUUUAAAAAAUUGGGUGUAAUUAAUUUAUAUUUAAAAAAUUCAGACUCAAGUUUCUAUUGUUUGUUAAUGUCAUACUUUAUCAUCUAGUGUUUAACAAUUAAGUAAUAUAAUCUAAACAGAUAUAAUUAAGAUAAUAUUUUUAUGUAAUUUAUUAUUAAUAAAUUUGCAAAUCUAAGUAUAACACUUUUAUAAACUGUUGUAAGCAUGUACUUUUAAUUAAAAUAAAAAUUAUUAUUAUUAUUGUUGAUAGUAAAAUUAACUCUUAAAAUCAGAAUAAACAUAGAAAACGUGAUAACUUAAUCAGGAGAGUGGAAUUUAAUGGUUUCUGUUCAUUUGGAUUUAUUUUUAUAAAAUAAAAUUACUAAAAGUGAAAUUGAUGGCAAAAUUAAGACAUUGGACCUUAUUAUAACCAAGUGCCUCAUUUGACCUCAACAAUUAAAAUAAGUGAUUAGUUGAACCAGUCAUUGAUAUUUAAUAUCACUGUAAUUUUUCUGCCCAGGUGCUUCUGACUUUGAUUAUUGUUUUUUAAAAAUAAUCAAUCAUAAAUUGAAUUAUUUAUGGUCAAUGAAAUACUGUUAGGAUACAGAAGUUAUUAGUCAUAAAAAUCAUUUUUAUGAAAUUUAAUAAUAUAUAGACUGAUUGUAAAGUUCCCAUAUAAGAAAUGGUAUUCUGGUUCUACAUCAUAUUGGAUGUAGAUCCAAUAUGGUGUAGCCUCCUCAAAGUCCAGACAAAUGUACAUGAUUACAACAUAUGUUUAUAAUAGUAUGUCAAUUCAUUUUGGGUGAGUUAAACAAUUAAAUAUCUAGUUGAAAAAAUUUUUCAACAGAUAUUUAAUGUUGUAAAGCCAACAACUAUCGGGACUGUUCUAAAGACAUUAUUUUCCAAAUUGGUGGUUGAAUGUCAAGAACAAAUGUAGGAAAAAAACUAAAUUUACAAUGAGAAUAAAAAGAGGGUACAGGUAACUUUAAUUACACUGCAUAGAGGUUCCACAUAAUAGAUAAAUAAGAGACAUAAAUAAG